AUAAUCACUUGUCCUUUAAUUGAGGUCUGGAAUGAAUGGUCGGAUGAAAAAUUGUCUUUCUUUAUUUUAUAUAAAAAAAUUAAUUUUUUAAUUAAAAAGUUAAAAUUUUGUUAAAGGACGAGAAGACCCUAUAGAGCUUUAAUGAAAAAUUUUUAUUAAAUUUUUGUUGUUUAUUUUUAUUAAAUUUGUAUUAUUUUUGUUGGGGCGACAAAAAAAAUUUUAUAUCUUUUUUUAUUUGUUUCAUUGAUUUAUGAAAAUUUGAUCCUUUAUUAUGGAAAUAAGAUUGAGUUACCUUAGGGAUAACAGCGUUAUUGCUUUGGAGAGUUCUUAUUGAUAAAGUAGUUUGCGACCUCGAUGUUGGAUUAAAAUUAGUUACAGGAGUAGAAUAUUGAUAACUGGGUCUGUUCGACCCUUGAAUUUUUACAUGAUCUGA
rnacentral:rRNA from 1 species